GGGGAUUUAGCUCAGUGGUAGAGCGCUUGCCUAGCAAGCACAAGGCCCUGGGUUCGGUACUCAGCUCCG
rfam:Rattus norvegicus chromosome 13, whole genome shotgun sequence.